rnacentral:lncRNA from 10 species
CAGUAAUGACCAGACACAUCACACCCGCCUUCUAGAAGCCCUCCCUCACAAACCGGAUCAACUGCUAUGAUAAAGCUCCACCCCACUAAAAGGAAUGUCACUUCUGAGCAACGUGGGUGAGGAAUCAGCAGCCGAAGUAGCAGCAAGCUGGAAAGGAUGGAUGCUUCUGGAAGCCACCUCAGAGACCAACCACAGCGGAUGGGCCCUCCUUAGCACAGAGCUACUUUUAGCCCAUUGUUCUACUGUGGGGAACAGAGGGAAACCCAGGGAACGAAACAAACAGUGUCACCUGCCUUCUGUAGUAAUAGUAACCAGGGGACAGCUAGAUACAACCUACUUGACUUGCCCACCGAUCCCUACACUUCACAUGACCUGUGUAGAUAUGCACAGCAACCACUUCCCAGUCACCUGUGACCUCCCGGAACUCCUGCCUGCUUGUUCCAAACCCAUCAAU